rnacentral:snRNA from 1 species
AUACUUACCUGGUGCCAGGGUCUCGUUGAGCACCGAAGACGAGCCCCCAGGGCCAAGCACGGGAAUUGCAUUGCGCUCGCGUUGACCCCUGCCACUCUCCCAAACUGAGGCAGAUGGGCCAUGCAAAUUGCUUAAAUCCGGUUCAAUGCAAGAGAGGGCACCACCGCC